UGGUUAUGGCGAAACUAGGGCAGGAUCAGCAAAGAUAAAAAGAAAAGAGUUGACAGAAGAACAAAAAAAGCUAAAAGGGGCAGUGAUAGAAACACGAGUCAACCUUGAUCGGUCAUUCAACAAAUGGACAGAACCGCAGGAUUUGAAAGGAUUCAAAACCAAUCCUGAAUUGUCUCUCUUCCUCCUAAACAGACGAGAGAUCCAGAGGCUCCAGGAUGAAGGGGAAGAGCUUUUACACAGUCUCAGAGUCUCUCAGAGUGGUUUUAACCGUCAGAAUGAUGUUAGCGUUGUUAAAGAUCUUACUGCCAUGUUGGCCUGUGAAGAAAGAACAGAUGAGGAGCUGGAAGAAGAAAAAGGCGAAGUAGCAUCUUAACAGAUUUUGGAAUGGGAGAGGAAGUUGGCAGGACAGAGUGGGGGAACUGCACACCGCAGUUGUAAAUCUGAUAACAGCUGCUUGCUAAAAACCACCUGCUCAAUGGAAAACAAACUGGACAGGAGUUGCAAACGCUUCAAUCAGCUGAUGACCAGGAAUGGACAGUUGAGGGAGGAUCUGAAGAUACUGCAGGAGGAGAAGAAACACUUCCUACGUGUUAAAUCUCAUCUAGAAAAUGAGCUGCAUGCAAUUCACAAGGAUGUUUGUAAACUGAGUUCUGAGUGCACUGAAGCCUUCAAUACCAGGCUGGAUCACCACUAGCUGAUUGUCAGCAUGGAGGACAUUACUGAGUACUUGACAACAAAAACAGAAAUA